UCCGGUAUAGUGUAACGGCUAACAUAUCGCGUUUUCAUCAUCCUCGAAAAAAAGGAGCUGAAGAACCGCGGGGCUCGGGGUUCGAUUCCCCGUACCGGAG